rnacentral:rRNA from 1 species
GUGCGCGAGUCUGGGGUUUUACGAACCUAAAGGCGCAGUGAAGGUGAAGGCUUGCUUUUCGGUAGGCCUAGGUAGGAUCCCGUCCUCGGGCGGGCGCACUACCGGCCCGUCUCGUCCGCGCUGUCGGUGAGGCGGAGCAAGAGCGUACACGUUGGGACCCGAAAAUGGUGAACUAUGCCUGAGUAGGACGAAGCCAGAGGAAAACUCUGGGGAAGUCCGUAGCGAUUCUGACGUGCAAAUCGAUCGUCAAACUUUGGUAUAGGGGGCGAAAAAACUAAUCGAAACCAUCUAGUAGCUGGGUUCCCUCCGAAAGUUUUCCCUCAGGAUAGCUGGCACUCGUAACAGUUUUUUCCGGUAAAGCGAAUGAUUAGAGGCCUUGGGGGACGAAAACGUCCUCAACCUAUUCUCAAACUUUAAAUGGGUAAGAAGCCCGGCUCGCUCGAUUGGAGUCGGGCAGCGAAUGAGAGUGCCCAGUGGGCCACUUUUGGUAAGCAGAACUGGCGCUGUGGGAUGAACCAAACGUCCGGUUAAGGCGCCCAACGAUGACGCUCAUCAGAUACCAUAAAAGGU